rnacentral:misc_RNA from 1 species
CCCUUGUGGAGGAGGACGCCGAAGGUGGGGCUAAUGACUGGGGUGAAGUCGUAACAAGGUAGCCGUACCGGAAGGUGCGGCUGGAUCACCUCCUAACAGGGAGACAACAAAAUGUUUAAUAUUAUUAUUUUGUCACCUUAGGUCGAUCGGUAUCUCACGUUCUUAAUUUAUUAAGAAUUUCAUUUCCUAAGUUUUUCUAGGUCACACCCAUUAUUUUUCCUGGGCCAUUAGCUCAGGUGGUUAGAGCGCACCCCUGAUAAGGGUGAGGUCCCUGGUUCAAGUCCAGGAUGGCCCAUAUCUCUAUGUUGGGGGUAUAGCUCAGUUGGUAGAGCGCCUGCUUUGCAAGCAGGAUGUCAGCGGUUCGAGUCCGCUUACCUCCACUGAUUACCACCUCUUCCAUAAUUUGUAGAAGGGAAAUGUUUUGAGUUGUGAUCAAAUUCUGAACGAAUCUAGCUUCCUAAUGAAAGCAUUAAGAUGCUGGACUCAUUGAAUUAAUUUCAUUGUUUUCAGAGAACCUUGACAACUGCAUAGAUUAUUUUUUUUAAAGACAAUAAGCAUCUUUAAUGAUGCAGAUUUAUUAUUUGUGCGAAUGCAUUAAUAACAAUUCUAUUAAGCUGAUGCUUCAAUUUUGAAGUUAUUGGUCAAGCUACAAAGGGCUCACGGAGGAUACCUAGGCACACAGAGGCGAU